CAGCAGCCGCGGGAAUACGUAGGUGGCAAGCGUUGUCCGGAAUUAUUGGGCGUAAAGCGCGCGCAGGUGGUUUAAUAAGUCUGAUGUGAAAGCCCACGGCUCAACCGUGGAGGGUCAUUGGAAACUGUUAAACUUGAGUGCAGGAGAGAAAAGUGGAAUUCCUAGUGUAGCGGUGAAAUGCGUAGAGAUUAGGAGGAACACCAGUGGCGAAGGCGGCUUUUUGGCCUGUAACUGACACUGAGGCGCGAAAGCGUGGGGAGCAAACAGGAUUAGAUACCCGCGUAGUCCCUGUCUCUUAUAC
rnacentral:rRNA from 1 species